rnacentral:rRNA from 1 species
UACGUAGGGUGCAAGCGUUGUCCGGAAUCAUUGGGCGUAAAGCGCGUGUAGGCGGCUUCGUCAGUCCGUUGUGAAAGUCCAGGGCUCAACCCUGGAAUGCCGAUGGAUACUGCGGAGCUCGAGUCCGGAAGAGGCGAGUGGAAUUCCUGGUGUAGCGGUGAAAUGCGCAGAUAUCAGGAGGAACACCAAUGGCGAAGGCAGCUCGCUGGGACGGUACUGACGCUGAGACGCGAAAGCGUGGGGAGCAAACAGG